CCUGCGGAGGGAUCAUUACAGAGUACCUGCCCUUCGGGGUAGAAACUCCCACCCUGUGUAUUUUAUACCUUUGUUGCUUUGGCAGGCCUGUAAGGCUUCGGCUUAGCUACCAGAACCUUCUGGUAUGUGCCUGCCAGAGGACCCUAAACUCUGAAUUAUUAGUGUCGUCUGAGUACUAUUUAAUAGUUAAAACUUUCAACAACGGAUCUCUUGGUUCUGGCAUCGAUGAAGAACGCAGCGAAAUGCGAUAAGUAAUGUGAAUUGCAGAAUUCAGUGAAUCAUCGAAUCUUUGAACGCACAUUGCGCCCCUUGGUAUUCCGAGGGGCAUGCCUGUUCGAGCGUCAUAAUAACCAUCAAGCCCUGCUUGGUAUUGGGUGCUACUGCUGUGUACGCCUUAAAAUCAGUGGCGGUGCUAUCAGGCCCUGAGCGUAGUAAUUUUUCUCGCUACGGGUGUCUGACAGAUGCUCGCUAUAAACCAUAUUUUUCUUUACAGGUUUGACCUCGGAUCAGGUAGGGAUACCCGCUGAACUUAAGCAUAUCAUA
rnacentral:rRNA from 1 species